rnacentral:sRNA from 1 species
UGAUACAAGGGUCAAAAGGUCAUGCGUUUCUUGCUUGCAUGAAAAAGCAUGACUUAUUGACCCGCAAAACACCGAAAAGUAGCCAUUUUUCGUAGAAAAAUGAGCGUAUUUGAGGUGUUUUAGGAUUGCGAGAGCAUGAAAUGCGAAGCAAUCCGUGUAUUA